CUACAUACCCUAAAAAAAUAACAACAGCUUUGAUUUCAAAAAUCUCCACAAAUAAAUUCUAGAACAAAAAGGCUAGCAUACUUUUUAGCCAUAGAAAAUGCAAUAUUAAAUUAAAGCCAUGAACAACUUUGAACUAUCUCUUUCCAAGUCUUCGAUCUACAUGUGGUGCACAUUAGAAAAACUGACAAUUUCUAUUUAAUUUUGUAUAACAUAUGCUAUAUGAUUGACUUAUGACUUUGGCCUGCCUUUGUUCAUAGGUAAAGAAAUUAUGUGAUCAUAACAAUUUGAAAUCUCCGUGGUCGGUCAUUU
rnacentral:lncRNA from 1 species